ensembl:ncRNA F45B8.16 ncRNA
UGUUUGUGUGAAAAUUACCGCGCUUCUUGGAGUCCUCCGAUGACAGCUGCAACCCAUCACUUUCCAAUUUCGCGCACUGCCAUUUCGACUGUUAUAUUGUCAAUUACAACGCGCACAUCAUUCGUUUAUGGUAGUUGUUAUGAAC